CACCGCGGUUAUACGAGUGUGCUCAAGACGAUAUACAACGGCGUAAAGCGUGAUUAGAGACAUAACAAAACUAAAGUUAAACACCCCCUAAACUGUUAUACGUUAAUGGGACGAGGAGAACCCACAACGAAAGUAGCUUUAACAACUUCUUGAACUCACGACCGUUGAGAAA
rnacentral:rRNA from 1 species